CAUAAAGAAAUGAGUUGGUGACAACUAUCCUUUGCACAACAUUAUCAACUCACUUUAGCCACAAGCAUGUCCUUGUUGCAAUCACUUCCUACUCAUAUAAUACCAAGAGGAUCCGUUUGUAAUUGUGGUUGUAUCAGCUGAGGUUGCAAUGGUGGCGGCAACUGAAGUGGCACCAUUGGUUCCACCAACUGUCCUGGGUUUGAAGGUGGUGGAGGAGCCACAAUGUUUGUCGUUUCUACAAUUUCUCCAUUGUAAAAGAAAAACUGACACUGCUGAAGAGGCAACUUCUUGGCCCCAAAGAAAUCAUGUGCCACAGUGGUUUAGGAAUUAGAAAGAAAAGAGGUUACUGCAGUUUGGAUACUCAGUUCUGAUUUACUGUGUGUACAUCUGCAGUGUGGC
rnacentral:lncRNA from 10 species